UACAGAGGUCCCGAGCGUUGUUCGGAUUCACUGGGCGUAAAGGGUGCGUAGGUGGCUUGACAAGUUUGAUGUGAAAUCUCCGGGCUUAACCCGGAAAAUGCAUUGAAUACUGUAGAGGCUUGAGGUUUGGAGGGGGGACUGGAAUUCUCGGUGUAGCAGUGAAAUGCGUAGAUAUCGAGAGGAACACCAGUGGCGAAGGCGAGUCCCUGGACAACACCGUGACACUGAGGCACGAAAGCCGGGGGAGCAAACAGG
rnacentral:rRNA from 1 species